GUUCGAUCGAAGUCUGGUUCUUGUAGAAGGUUGAAAGGAAACCGCUUAUCAUCAAAGCUCGAUCGAAGAUCGGUUACCGUGAGAGCUAGGAGUAGCGACCUGGCUGGUGGGUCCCAUCCCAUUAUAGAGGCUCGAUCAAAGAUCGGUUGUCAUGGGAGCUCGGAGUAGCGACCUAGCCGAUGGGUCCCGUCCCAUUGUAGAAGCUCGAUCGAAGAUCGGUUGUCAUGGGAGCUCAGAGUAGCGACCUGGCC
rnacentral:lncRNA from 1 species